AUUGAACGCUGGCGGCAGGCUUAACACAUGCAAGUCGAGCGGGGGAAGGUAGCUUGCUACCGGACCUAGCGGCGGACGGGUGAGUAAUGCUUAGGAAUCUGCCUAUUAGUGGGGGACAACAUCUCGAAAGGGAUGCUAAUGCCGCAUACGUCCUACGGGAGAAAGCAGGGGAUCUUCGGACCUUGCGCUAAUAGAUGAGCCUAAGUCGGAUUAGCUAGUUGGUGGGGUAAAGGCCUACCAAGGCGACGAUCUGUAGCGGGUCUGAGAGGAUGAUCCGCCACACUGGGACUGAGACACGGCCCAGACUCCUACGGGAGGCAGCAGUGGGGAAUAUUGGACAAUGGGGGGAACCCUGAUCCAGCCAUGCCGCGUGUGUGAAGAAGGCCUUAUGGUCGUUAAGCACUUUAAGCGAGGAGGAGGCUACUUUAGUCAAUACCUAGAGAUAGUGGACGUUACUCGCAGAAUAAGCACCGGCUAACUCUGUGCCAGCCGCCGCCGUAA
rnacentral:rRNA from 1 species